CGUAAAGAACCUGCCUCAUAGACUGGGACAACAUUGAAACGAUAGCUAAUACCGGAUAACAGAUUUCUCGCAUGAGAGAUAUUUAAAAGUUGGUUAUGCUAACACUAUGAGAUGGCUUUGCGGUGCAUUAGCUAGUUGGUGGGGUAAAGGCCACCAAGGCGACGAUGCAUAGCCGACCUGAGAGGGUGAUCGGCCACACUGGGACUGAGACACGGCCCAG
rnacentral:rRNA from 1 species